rnacentral:rRNA from 1 species
CCCCGCACAAGCAGCGGAGCGUGUGGUUUAAUUCGAUGUUACACGAAGAACCUUACCAGGGUUUGACAUGCAAGUGGUAGGAAGCCGAAAGGUGACCGACCUUCGGGGAGCUUGCACAGGUGCUGCAUGGCUGUCGUCAGCUCGUGUCGUGAGAUGUUCGGUUAAGUCCGCUAACGAGCGCAACCCUCGCUGUGUGUUAUAUGUGUCACACGGGACUGCCGGUCUUAAGCCGGAGGAAGGUGGGAUGAUGUCAAGUCAGCAUGGCCUUUAUAUCCUGGGCUACACACACGCUACAAUGGUCGGUACAAUGGGUCGCCAAGCCGCGAGGCGGAGCCAAUCCUCCAAAACCGGCCUCAGUUCAGAUUGUAGGCUGCAACUCGCCUGCAUGAAGUUGGAGUUGCUAGUAACCGCGCGUCAGCUAUAGUGCGGUGAAUACGUUCCCGGGGCUU